UGCAGUCGAGCGAGAAAGCACCUUCUGGGUGUGAUUAGAGCGGCAAACGGGUGAGUAACACGUGGGAAUCUACCUUGAAGUCUGGAAUAGCCCCGGGAAACUGGGAUUAAUGCCGGAUGUGCUCUACGGAGUAAAGAUUUAUCGCUUCAAGAUGAGCCCGCGCUACAUUAGCUUGUUGGUAAGGUAACGGCUUACCAAGGCUACGAUGUAUAGCUGGUUUGAGAGGAUGAUCAGCCACACUGGGACUGAGAUACGGCCCAGACUCCUACGGGAGGCAGCAGUGAGGAAUAUUGGACAAUGGAGGAAACUCUGAUCCAGCCAUGCCGCGUGAGUGAAGAAGGCCUUAGGGUUGUAAAACUCUUUCAUCAGGGAAGAUAAUGACGGUACCUGAAUAAGAAGCCCCGGCUAACUUCGUGCCAGCAGCCGCGGUAAUACGAAGGGGGCUAGCGUUACUCGGAAUUACUGGGCGUAAAGCGCGCGUAGGCGGCUUGGAAAGUCAGAGGUGAAAGCCCGGGGCUCAACCCCGGAACUGCCUUUGAAACUAUCAGGCUAGCAGUCGGUAGGGGAUAGCGGAAUUCCUAGUGUAGGGGUGAAAUCCGUAGAUAUUAGGAGGAACACCAGAGGCGAAGGCGGCUAUCUGGACCGAUUUGGACGCUAAGGCGCGAAAGCGUGGGGAGCAAACAGGAUUAGAUACCCUGGUAGUCCACGCCGUAAACGAUGCAUGCUAGUCGUCGGAUCUUUCGAUUCGGUGACGUAGUUAACGCGUUAAGCAUGCCGCCUGGGGAGUACGGUCGCAAGAUUAAAACUCAAAGGAAUUGACGGGGACCCGCACAAGCGGUGGAGCAUGUGGUUUAAUUCGAUGCAACGCGAAGAACCUUACCACCCCUUGACAUCUUGGUCGCGGUUUAGAGAGAUCUUUACCUUCAGUUAGGCU
rnacentral:rRNA from 1 species